rnacentral:lncRNA from 1 species
UAAUAAACAAUUUCUAAGCUGUUUUAUAAUAUUUUUGAGUUCAUUAAUCAUAUUUUUUAUUUAAAACAUAAAUUCAUUAAUAAUGCUUAGUAAUGCAUAUAUUUGUAUUUUUAGCUUUCUAGAAGAUCAUGCGAAGAAGGCGUGAAGUAUAGAUCAGAUUUGUUAAUAGAGGAGUAUCUUCAAAACAUUUUUUAGAAAAAGAUAUUGACAGAACUUCACUUUCAUCUGUUCAUUGAGAGACUGUGCUGUUCCAAUAGCUUGUCACACAGAAUCAGCUGAGAGAAGUGUUCUACAAAAAACCAGGAAGGAAACGGAAUAUGUGGCUACGAAAGGCAAAAGAAAGGUUUACAAA